AGCGAACGCUGGCGGCAGGCCUAACACAUGCAAGUCGAACGAACUCUUCGGAGUUAGUGGCGGACGGGUGUGUAACACGUUGGAACGUGCCUUUUUGUUCGGAAUAACUCAGGGAAACUUGUGCUAAUACCGAAUGUGCCCUUCGGGGGAAAGAUUUAUCGCCAUUAGAGCGGCCCGCGUCUGAUUAGCUAGUUGGUGAGGUAACGGCUCACCAAGGCGACGAUCAGUAGCUGGUCUGAGAGGAUGACCAGCCACACUGGGACUGAGACACGGCCCAGACUACUACGGGAGGGAGCAGAGGGGAAUCGAGCGAAAUGGGGGAAAGCAUGAAGCAGCCAUGCCGGGUGAAUGAUGGAGGUAUGAGGAUAGUAAAAUUCUUUCACCGGGGAAGAUAAUGACGGUACCCGGAGAAGAAGCCCCGGCUAACUACGUG
rnacentral:rRNA from 1 species